UUGCAACAAACAAGCACAGCAGAGAUGCUGGAUUUGACUGUUGAGCACAUUAAAGAACUGCAGGAACAAGUUAAGAUGCUCACUAAUAUUAGGUCAAAGUGUAGAUGUACAAAUACUCAGAAGCAAUAUUCUUGACUCCUUUUUCAUGAUUUAGUUCCUUGUAGAUAGCAAAGGGCAGGA